rnacentral:rRNA from 1 species
GUGGCGAACGGGUGAGUAACACGUGGGUGAUCUGCCCUGCACUUCGGGAUAAGCCUGGGAAACUGGGUCUAAUACCGGAUAGGACCACGGGAUGCAUGUCUUGUGGUGGAAAGCGCUUUAGCGGUGUGGGAUGAGCCCGCGGCCUAUCAGCUUGUUGGUGGGGUGACGGCCUACCAAGGCGACGACGGGUAGCCGGCCUGAGAGGGUGUCCGGCCACACUGGGACUGAGAUACGGCCCAGACUCCUACGGGAGGCAGCAGUGGGGAAUAUUGCACAAUGGGCGCAAGCCUGAUGCAGCGACGCCGCGUGGGGGAUGACGGCCUUCGGGUUGUAAACCUCUUUCACCAUCGACGAAGGUCCGGGUUCUCUCGGAUUGACGGUAGGUGGAGAAGAAGCACCGGCCAACUACGUGCCAGCAGCCGCGGUAAUACGUAGGGUGCGAGCGUUGUCCGGAAUUACUGGGCGUAAAGAGCUCGUAGGUGGUUUGUCGCGUUGUUCGUGAAAUCUCACGGCUUAACUGUGAGCGUGCGGGCGAUACGGGCAGACUAGAGUACUGCAGUGGAGACUGGAAUUCCUGGUGUAGCGGUGGAAUGCGCAGAUAUCAGGAGGAACACCGGUGGCGAAGGCGGGUCUCUGGGCAGUAACUGACGCUGAGGAGCGAAAGCGUGGGGAGCGAACAGGAUUAGAUACCCUGGUAGUCCACGCCGUAAACGGUGGGUACUAGGUGUGGGUUUCCUUCCUUGGGAUCCGUGCCGUAGCUAACGCAUUAAGUACCCCGCCUGGGGAGUACGGCCGCAAGGCUAAAACUCAAAGGAAUUGACGGGGGCCCGCACAAGCGGCGGAGCAUGUGGAUUAA